rnacentral:misc_RNA from 1 species
GAUGAAGAACGCAGCGAAAUGCGAUAACUAAUGUGAAUUGCAGAAUUCAGUGAAUCAUCGAGUCUUUGAACGCACAUUGCGCCCCCUGGUAUUCCGGGGGGCAUGCCUGUCCGAGCGUCAUUGCUGCCCUCAAGCACGGCUUGUGUGUUGGGCUCCGUCCCCCCGGGGACGGGCCCGAAAGGCAGCGGCGGCACCGAGUCCGGUCCUCGAGCGUAUGGGGCUUUGUCACCCGCUCUGUAGGCCCGGCCGGCGCCAGCCGACAACCCAUCAUCCUUUUCAGGUUGACCUCGGAUCAGGUAGGGAUACCCGCUGAACUUAGGCAUAUCAAUAAGCGGAGGA